UACGUAGGGUGCAAGCGUUUGUCCGGAAUUAUUGGGCGUAAAGAGCUCGUAGGCGGUCUGUCGCGUCGGCUGUGAAAUCCCGGAGCUCAACUCCGGGUCUGCAGUCGAUACGGGCAAACUGGAGUACUGCAGGGGAGACUGGAAUUCCUGGUGUAGCGGUGGAAUGCGCAGAUAUCAGGAGGAACACCGGUGGCGAAGGCGGGUCUCUGGACAGUUCCUGACGCUGAGGCACGAAGGCCAGGGGAGCAAACGGG
rnacentral:rRNA from 1 species